GUCUAGUCUGCCCACUGAAUUUAAUUUUUAAUGGCCGCAGUAUUUUGACUGUGCAAAGGUAGCAUAAUCAUUAGUUUUUUAAUUAAAAGCUUGUAUGAAAGGCUGGACGAGGUAGAAUCUGUCUCUAUUUAAAUUAAAGUAGAAUUUAAUUUUUAAGUUAAAAAGCUUAAAUGUUAUUAAAAGACGAGAAGACCCUAUAGAUCUUUAUAAUUUAUUAAAUGAAAUUAAUUUAGAAUUAUUUAUUUUUUAUUUUAAUAAAUUAUUUUAUUGGGGUAAUAGAAAGAUUAAAUUAAUUCUUUUUUGUAAUAAACAUUGAUUUAUGAAUAUUAAAUGAUCCAGUUUUACUGAUUAUAAGAUUAAGUUACCUUAGGGAUAACAGCGUAAUUUUUUUAGAGAGUUCAUAUCGAUAAAAAAGUUUGCGACCUCGAUGUUGGAUUAAAGAUUAUUUUAGGUGUAGAAGCUUAAUAAUUUUGGUCUGUUCGACCAUUAAAUCUUUACAUGAUCUGAGUUCAGACCGGUGUAAGCCAGGUCGGUUUCUAUCUUUAAUAAAAUAAAAUAUUUUAGUACGAAAGGACCAAAUAUUAAAUAUAUUUAUAUUUAAUUUAUUGAAUAUUAUUAAAGUUGUAAUUAUUUUGGCAGAUUAGUGCAAUGAAUUUAGAAUUCAUUUAUGUAAUUUAUUUACAAAUAAUACUUGUUUUAUAUAGAUAUUGUUUUUUCUUUAGUAUGUAUAUUAUUAUUAAUUAUUUGUGUUUUAGUGGGGGUUGCUUUUUUAACUUUAUUGGAACGUAAGGUCUUAGGUUAUAUUCAAAUUCGUAAGGUCCUAAUAAAGUAGGAU
rnacentral:rRNA from 1 species